rnacentral:tRNA from 1 species
GCGCGUAGCUCAGCUGGCAGAGCAACUGACUUACAAGCAGAAGGUCACAGGUUCGAGCCCUAUAGCCGGCUCCA